AGAGUUUGAUCCUGGCUCAGGAUGAACGUUGGCGGCGUGCCUAACACAUGCAAGUCGAACGGUGAUAGCAAUAUUACAGUGGCGCACGGGUGAGUAACACGUAGCUUACCUGCCUCCAAGCGCGGGAUAACGUUCCGAAAGGAAUGCUAAUACCGCAUAAGCUCACGCUCUGUAGAGGAGAGUGAGAAAAGGGGUAACUCACUUGGAGAUGGGGCUGCGGCCCAUCAGCUAGUUGGUGAGGUAAGAGCUUACCAAGGCGACGACGGGUAGGGGACCUGAGAGGGUGACCCCCCACACUGGGACUGAGACACGGCCCAGACUCCUACGGGAGGCAGCAGUGAGGGAUAUUGCGCAAUGGGCGAAAGCCUGACGCAGCGACGCCGCGUGAGUGACGAAGGCCUUCGGGUCGUAAAACUCUUUCUGCGUGACGAGCAAGGACGGUAGCGCAGGAAUAAUUUCGAC
rnacentral:rRNA from 1 species